GCUUCGGGCNNNGCCGCGGUCUAAUUCGCUUGGAACAGCGGGUCACAGAGGGUGAGAAUCCCGUCUAGGACCGCGCGUCGCGCCCGUGUGAAGCUCCUUCGACGAGUCGAGUUGUUUGGGAAUGCAGCUCUAAAUGGGUGGUAAAUUUCAUCUAAAGCUAAAUAUUGGCCAGAGACCGAUAGCGCACAAGUAGAGUGAUCGAAAGAUGAAAAGCACUUUGAAAAGAGAGUUAAACAGUAUGUGAAAUUGUUGAAAGGGAAGCGCUUGCAAUCAGACUUGCGCGUGACGGUUCCCCCGGCCUCCUGGCCGGGCUACUCCGUCACGUCCAGGCCAACAUCGGUUCGGGUGGUCGGUCAAAGACCCCGGGAAUGUAUCUACCUCCGGGUCGACUUAUAGCCCGGGGUGUAAUGCGGCCCACCCGGACCGAGGAACGCGCUCCGGCUCGGAUGUUGGCGUAAUGGUUGUAAGCGGCCCGUCUUGAAACACGGACCAAGGAGUCUAACAUCUAUGCGAGUGUUUGGGUGUCAAACCCCUACGCGUAAUGAAAGUGAACGGAGGUAAGAACCCGCCCCUCCGGGGGUGGGCGCAUUAUCGACCGAUCCUGAUGUCUUCGGAUGGAUUUGAGUAANAGCAUAGCUGUUGGGACCCGAAANAUGGUGAACUAUGCGUGAAUAGGGUGAAGCCNGAGGAAACUCUGGUGGAGNNUCGCANCGGUUCUGACGUGCAAAUCGAUCGUCAAAUUUGCNCAUAGGGGCNAAAGANCAAUCGAACCGU
rnacentral:rRNA from 1 species